GACGAACGCUGGCGGCGUGCUUAACACAUGCAAGUCGAACGGAAAGGCCCUGCUUUUGUGGGGUGCUCGAGUGGCGAACGGGUGAGUAACACGUGAGUAACCUGCCCUUGACUUUGGGAUAACUUCAGGAAACUGGGGCUAAUACCGGAUAGGAGCUCCUGCUGCAUGGUGGGGGUUGGAAAGUUUCGGCGGUUGGGGAUGGACUCGCGGCUUAUCAGCUUGUUGGUGGGGUAGUGGCUUACCAAGGCUUUGACGGGUAGCCGGCCUGAGAGGGUGACCGGCCACAUUGGGACUGAGAUACGGCCCAGACUCCUACGGGGGGCAGCAGUGGGGAAUAUUGCACAAUGGGCGGAAGCCUGAUGCAGCAACGCCGCGUGCGGGAUGACGGCCUUCGGGUUGUAAACCGCUUUCGCCUGUGACGAAGCGUGAGUGACGGUAAUGGGUAAAGAAGCACCGGCCAACUACGUG
rnacentral:rRNA from 1 species